rnacentral:lncRNA from 1 species
GCCUGCUGCAGGUGUGAUUGGUUUGGUUGUGCUGCAGAGCAGUAGCGGUGUGGGCAGGGUCCCAAGGACAGGGAUGUACUAUAAGCAGCUUUCUCUACAAGCAAAAAUCUGAACUGGCUCAGGUCUCAUGACAGAACAGCUGUCCUCAGGCUACUUGAAGAAGCAAAUUUGCUAGAAAAAACCCUGGAGCACAACAAUCCUGCCACAUGGGAGAGAUUGUAUCAGGAUACUCCAUAAGAAGCCUGUCCUAAAAGUCAAACUUGAAAUUUAAGAAUGAAAAAAGUCCUUCUUCAUCUAGAAAAAUGUAUGUAUUAACAACAGACAGAAAGCCAAGAUGAAUGUUCAAACCUGCAGAAGUGAAGAGGAUAUUUCCUUGUGGAGCUCAGUUUUAGGGCACUUCAUAAAGAGAAUAGUAAGGACGCCCUUCUAUAUAGUAUUUGAUAUAUCCUGAAGAUGAAAAAAAACAAGGGAGUCCAUAUUGAAAGUUCAGGACACUGCAAAUUUCAUUAAGUUGAUUGGAGUUGUAUCUGAAGCCUAAGGAACAUACAUCUGAGCCAUCAGAAGAAGAAAAAUAAAUGUAGACAGAAAGCCA